GACGAACGCUGGCGGCGUGCCUAAUACAUGCAAGUCGAACGCUGGAGCGAGGAGCUUGCUCUUCUUGUAUGAGUUGCGAACGGGUGAGUAACGCGUAGGUAACCUGCCUUUUAGCGGGGGAUAACUAUUGGAAACGAUAGCUAAUACCGCAUAACAAUGGAUAACACAUGUCUUUUAUUUGAAAGGGGCAAUUGCUCCACUACAAAAUUGACCUGCGUUGUAAUAGCUAGUAGGUUAAGUAAUGGCUCAACUAGGCGACGAUACAUAGCCGGCCUGAGAGGGGGAUCGGGCAACACUGGAAUGGGACACGGGCCCGACUCCCAAGGGGGGGCGGCGGAGGGGAUCUUCGGGAAUGGGGGGAAAGCUGGACGGACAAACGCGGGUGAGUGAAGGAGGUUUUCCGGUCGUAAAACUCUGUUGUAAGGGAAGGAAGAGAGUGGGAGUGAAAAGUUCACACUGUGACGGUAGCUUACCAGAAAGGGACGGCUAACUACGUG
rnacentral:rRNA from 1 species